rnacentral:rRNA from 1 species
UACGUAGGGUGCAAGCGUUGUCCGGAAUUAUUGGGCGUAAAGAGCUCGUAGGCGGUCUGUCACGUCGGCUGUGAAAACUCGGGGCUCAACUCCGAGCCUGCAGUCGAUACGGGCAGACUAGAGUUCGGUAGGGGAGACUGGAAUUCCUGGUGUAGCGGUGAAAUGCGCAGAUAUCAGGAGGAACACCGGUGGCGAAGGCGGGUCUCUGGGCCGAUACUGACGCUGAGGAGCGAAAGCGUGGGGAGCAAACAGG